UGUGAAGAACUAAGAAGCCAA
rnacentral:piRNA from 1 species